AGUGAACGCUGGCGGUAGGCCUAACACAUGCAAGUCGAACGGCAGCACAGUAAGAGCUUGCUCUUACGGGUGGCGAGUGGCGGACGGGUGAGGAAUACAUCGGAAUCUACUUUUUCGUGGGGGAUAACGUAGGGAAACUUACGCUAAUACCGCAUACGACCUACGGGUGAAAGCAGGGGAUCUUCGGACCUUGCGCGAUUGAAUGAGCCGAUGUCGGAUUAGCUAGUUGGCGGGGUAAAGGCCCACCCAGGCGAGGAUCCGUAGCUGGUCUGAGAGGAUGAUCAGCCACACUGGAACUGAGACACGGUCCAGACUCCUACGGGAGGCAGCAGUGGGGAAUAUUGGACAAUGGGCGCAAGCCUGAUCCAGCCAUACCGCGUGGGUGAAGAAGGCCUUCGGGUUGUAAAGCCCUUUUGUUGGGAAAGAAAAGCAGCAGGUUAAGACCCCGCUGUUCUGACGGUACCCAAAGAAUAAGCACCGGCUAACUUCGUG
rnacentral:rRNA from 1 species